rnacentral:lncRNA from 1 species
GUGGGUGUGGGAUACGAGUACGAAUUUGUACAUUGUCAAAGGGACUCAGUGUUAGGAGGAAGUUUUAUGGUUGUUCAAAUUAUGGUGUAAGUUAUUAUAUUUACCUUAAUAAAAUUUUAAAUUUUUACACAUAAUCAUAACAAUUGACUACUGUAUGUUUAAUUUUCUACAGACCCAAGCAUUUUGUGGCUUUUUUCAAUGGAUUGACUUUAUCCAGACGUUAGAAGAUGCUGGGCUAGAGAAUGAUUCGGGUCUGUUGAAUAUGAGAAGCAUAGAAAUUGACCUACAAAUGAUGAAGGAGAAAGCUCAUGAAUUGGGAGUGCAAGUAUCGAAAUUGGAAAAAAAGAAAG